AUGGUGAGGAAAAUUAAAGUGAAGGCUAUCAGGAACAGCCUUUUCUGUGAGCUGUUUCCACUAGAAUGCUCAGUGGCAUGAAACUUCAUGGUGGAGAGUAAUUGAAGUAAAUUUGGUAGUUUGUGUCAUUUUAUACAGCUCUUAAUAGGUGAGUUUUGCGUGCGCCAGCUAAAUCCUCCAAUAGUAGUCGCCUUUAUUGUUUGGCAAGGCAUCAUGAUAUCUUUGCAAAGUUCUAAAGCAGAAGUUCUAAUUGCUUUUGUCUCA